rnacentral:rRNA from 1 species
CCGGAGGAAGGUGGGGAUGACGUCAAGUCCUCAUGGCCCUUAUGGGUAGGGCUUCACACGUCAUACAAUGGUCGGUACAGAGGGUUGCCAAGCCGCGAGGUGGAGCCAAUCCCAGAAAGCCGAUCGUAGUCCGGAUCGGAGUCUGCAACUCGACUCCGUGAAGUCGGAAUCGCUAGUAAUCGUGGAUCAGCAUGCCACGGUGAAUACGUUCCCGGGUCUU